rnacentral:misc_RNA from 1 species
AAUCGACACCAACAAUUUAUACUACGCCAAUUCGACUUUUCGAUAAGUUUGUUUUUUUAAUGCGAACUUGAUAAAAUGUGUUUUUAUAUGUAACUAGCUGUGCCCGCGGCUUCGCCCGCGUUGAAAUUAGUAUGUCACAAAGUUUUCCCGGCAAAGUUCCAGUGAAACUCUCAUCAAAAUCGGCUUAGCCGUUCCGUAAACCUUCCUCUUGCCAAUGGUGGAGCCCUCUCUCCAA